UUCUGUUGCAACAAGUCACAAGAUUGGAAAGAUUAAUCUGUAGAUUAAAUUUAAACAUAUGUAAGAAAUUUGGGCUGUCAAUUGGAUGCAAGCAAUAGCCAUCCAUUUUAUAUCAGUGGAUUUUCUUUUCUGAAGAAGCAGAUGGAACUGGAUGGAAAUGACACUUGGAUAGUGGGAUAGUUGGAUAGUGAGAGAGAGAGACACACACACACACUUCGGCAGCACCUGGGUUUCGGCCUGAAAAGUCAACUAUGCUUUUUUCCAUAGAUGCUGCCUGGCCUGCUAAGUUCCUCCAGCAUUUUGUGUGUGUUGCUCAGCACGACCACGAUAGUUGGAAGUGGGAGGAUUUGUGGUAGAUGAAAAGCCUUUCAAUAAUAUUCAAGUUUGCCAGAGGUUCAGUGUUUAACCUUGACUGGCAGAACCUAACCAAAUAGAUCCAAUAAAACUGUUUUCUUUUCGCAGUGUUUGUCAAGUCAAUGUAUUACGCAGAAAGAUACAAAGGCGCAUUCAAUGUAAUCAAUUGAGGAAUGUGGGAUUCAGCAGCCUUGUGGACUAUUGUAGAUAAAAGUUAGAACAAACUCAGAGCCUCUUGCCUAGGCAGGCAAUGAAACGAGUAGUUUUGUUUCAAGACUGUUAAUUUUACCGUGUUACAAUCAAUCUGGAGUGAUGACACUUGAGGCUCUUCCCUGAUCAGCCUGCUUUUGAUAUUCAGUAAGAUUCCCACUCCAAGUACUGAUACCCAUUUGAGUUCAUCCCAGAAUGUUUCUGACAAGGCUUCCGUUUUCUGGAUAUCGUUUAAGUUGCCCAAAUAACGUGGAACUCGGGCACCGCUGCGGUGAAAGGCUCCGGGCCUAGAACAUGCCACCCAGCGACUCGCUCCUGGCCAAGAUUUCACCACCAGCCCGAAGCCGCUGCUCUUGAUUUCUCCAAAUUGGCUCGGUGCCCAGGCCAGUUACAAGGGCAUCGAAACUCCUCUGCCUCAACCUCCCCUCCUCAAAUGGCUCACUCCAUCUGCGUCGAUUCUGCAACGUAGCAGCGUGGUCCAUCCCUCGAAUUUCUUUUGCUCGCCUCUUCAUUGUUUAUGGUGAUAAUUUACCACAAUCUACUUCAGGAAAGUGUUAUUCAUAAAGUUUUUUUUAGCAGAACUCCUUGCCUUUUAAACUACCAGUAAGCUGUUGUGUGUGCUCGGUCGUGCCGUCUUAAACUGGAAGUUAAACUGGAAUUUUGCAACAUGAUCCUUGACAUGAUCAUUAACCAGAAACAUUAACCUGAAUCAACCAUGUCUACAAGAUCAGGCCAGAGGCUGUGAUUGAUUCCCAAACUUGCUAAACUGUUUCGAUUGUUAACAAAGUCUAUCAGGAGCAUUAUGGAAUGCUCCCUGGUUUUGUGCAGGACCAACAACAAUCGAGAAAUUUGACUCCAUCCUGGACAAAUUUGCGUAGUUGUUUGUCGCCCCUGCCCCCAUCCUUAAUGUCAAAGUUGAAUCUCUUCUCUCGUGCUUAAGUACAUGCAAGCGCAGGUGCAUUAUCUCCCUUCAGAAAUAAGGUACCAUGGUAACAAUUGUGCUGUCAGCAAAAUGCACUGCAAUUAUUCAGCUCAUCUAUUCUAACAACUGCUCCCAACCUCAUGACCCCAAUCAUGCAUCAUCACCAUGCAUCUGCAGGUUUUCCUCCAAGUUAUACAAUCCUGUUUAUGAACCUAAUGCAAAUCCUUCAUAGCCUUUGGGUCUAAUCACUGGAGUUCCAGUUAUCUUCAGCACAGGGUGCAAAUGUUCAAAAGAUACUUCACCACCAUCUCUAAGAGAUGGACAUCAAAGGGUUCAAAGGUACAUUUAAUGUCAGAGAAAUGUAUACUAUAUAUAUCCUGAAAUGCUUUUUCUUCGCAACCAUCCAGAAAACAGAGGAGUGCCCCCAAAGAAUGAACGACAGUUAAAUGUUAGAACCCCAAAAUCCCCCCCCACCAGCUCCCCUCCCUCCCACGUUACGCGCAACAAUCCCACCUCCUCCUCCCACUGGCAACAAAAAGCAUCAGCACCCGCCUCCAAGCACUCAAGCGUGAGCAAGGAAACAGACUUGCAGUACUCCAAAGACUGCUUGUUCACCCGGUAUUCGACAUACCUCAGGCACGCUCUCUCCCUAAUAAGACAGAAAGAGGUGUCUCCGUUUCACAUAGGGCAUGUGGCUAACCUUGACAACAUCACUCCCCAUCGUAAAUGAAUAAUAAUUAUAUUAACAGAAGAUAUUCUGCAGGUGCUGGACAUCCAGAACAAUACAUACGAAACACUGGAGAAGUGAAUGAACGGUCGACAUUUCAGGCUGAGACUUUUCUGCAGGGUUGG